rnacentral:lncRNA from 1 species
GGAAAUUACAUUCUUUAUAUCUGGUAAGUAGAUUUUUAUAUUCUUUGUGGUGUAUGAAAGGCGUAUGCAGUGCAUGCUAUACAAUUCUGCCCGUUUAUAGGUAAGUAUGCCCAUAGACCUUAGAUAUGAUAGGAGUAAGAUAGUUGAUGUAUUAAUCUGAGAAUAUAUGAUUUGAAUCUGUAGUUUGAAUGUAGAAAGGGAGAUUUACGAAUGAUUUUGAAAGUGACCUUGACCUUUCGGUUAUGGAUCUAUGACGUCACAUUGACAAUUGCAUUCAUAUU